CACGUAGGGGGCGAGCGUUGUCCGGAAUUAUUGGGCGUAAAGCGCACGUAGGCGGUUCGUUAAGUCGGACGUGAAAGCCCUCGGCUCAACCGAGGAAGUGCAUCCGAAACUGGCGAGCUAGAGUACGAAAGAGGGUCGCGGAAUUCCCGGUGUAGAGGUGAAAUUCGUAGAUAUCGGGAGGAACACCAGUGGCGAAGGCGGCGAUCUGGGUCGAUACUGACGCUGAGGUGCGAAAGCGUGGGGAGCAAACAGG
rnacentral:rRNA from 1 species